UACGAAGGGGGCUAGCGUUGCUCGGAAUCACUGGGCGUAAAGGGUGCGUAGGCGGGUCUUUAAGUCAGGGGUGAAAUCCUGGAGCUCAACUCCAGAACUGCCUUUGAUACUGAAGAUCUUGAGUUCGGGAGAGGUGAGUGGAACUGCGAGUGUAGAGGUGAAAUUCGUAGAUAUUCGCAAGGACACCAGUGGCGAAGGCGGCUCACUGCCCGAUACUGACGCUGAUGCACGAAAGCGUGGGGAGCAAACAGG
rnacentral:rRNA from 1 species